CCAAUAGCGUAUAUUAAAGUUGUUGCAGUUAAAAAGCUCGUAGUUGAAUUUCGGGGUUAGCAGGUCGGUCGUGCCAAUGGUAUGCACUGGCUCGCUGACUCCUCCUUCUUGUAGAACCGUAAUGCCAUUAAUUUGGUGUUGCGGGGAAACAGGACCGUUACUUUGAAAAAAUUAGAGUGUUUAAAGCAGGCUAGCGCCUGAAUACAUUAGCAUGGAAUAAUGAAAUAGGACGUUCGAACCUAUUUUGUUGGUUUCUAGGAUUGACGUAAUGAUUAAUAGGGAUAGUUGGGGGCAUUAGUAUUCAAUUGUCAGAGGUGAAAUUCUUGGAUUUAUUGAAGACUGACUACUGCGAAAGCAUUUGCCAAGGAUGUUUUCAUUAAUCAAGAACGAAAGUUAGGGGAUCGAAGACGAUCAGAUACCGUCGUAGUCUUAACCAUAAACUAUGCCGACUAGGGAUCGGAUGAUGUUAAUUUUUUAAUGACUCAUUCGGCGCCUUACG
rnacentral:rRNA from 1 species